rnacentral:rRNA from 1 species
UACGAAGGGGGCUAGCGUUGCUCGGAAUCACUGGGCGUAAAGGGUGCGUAGGCGGGUCUUUAAGUCAGGGGUGAAAUCCUGGAGCUCAACUCCAGAACUGCCUUUGAUACUGAGGAUCUUGAGUCAGGGAGAGGUGAGUGGAACUGCGAGUGUAGAGGUGAAAUUCGUAGAUAUUCGCAAGAACACCAGUGGCGAAGGCGGCUCACUGGCCCGGUACUGACGCUGAGGCACGAAAGCGUGGGGAGCAAACAGG